UGAAGUGCUUUGCUCUAUGCAAGUUUCUCAUUGUUUUUGUUUGCACACAACUGCUGCCUGUGUUCAGAAUUCCAUAUUGGGCUUCUGCAGUUUGAAGAGGUGAAAGCAGUCAUGGAAGUGAAGUGUUUGUUCUGAAACAUGGAACUAAACUCUGAAAUAUGACAUGACUUUUUUUCUUCCUCCUUCCAUUAUGCAUGUAUCAUACAUGAUGUGUAAGCUCAGAGUUUAAUGCUAGUCAGCUCCUUGGUGACCUUCGCCAAAAUAUUUAUAGUUUCCUUUUCCACAAGAGGAAACUUUUUGGCAUUGAGUCCUGUAUCAGAAAACACGUUGUGAAAAUAUUAUGUUUAAACACAAUUUUGGCAAAGUUAAGAUAUUUAUGUCUUUAAACCAGGAAAAAAACCUUUCUGGCUUACUUUCAUUGUGCUUAAGUAAGCUGGAUGGGGAACAUAGGUGAACUGUGACAAGGACAAAGUAAAUCUCCAAAGUUAGCAUUGAACUCAUGGUGAGAAACUGCAGUGAAGUGCAACAGAGUCUUAUCUGGCAUGGAUAGGACUUGAAAGAGGUGCAUUACUAAUUCAUCAGUACCUGCAAACUGUUUCUCUCCUGUGCUUUAAUGAUUUUGAGGGAUUUUUUUUUUUUUGUCAGCAUUAAGUCAAAGUCCUGGUGAUGAUGUGAUUUAAUGCCUUGUGCUGCUCUGGCUUGUCAAAACUUCUGCUUAACAGGCUGUGUAGAAUGUAAAUUUUGUUUGGCUGUUGAAGUAUUGAUAACCAUUUCGUCACUGUCCUGGCUGUAUUUGACUUGAAAGGCUUCUCAACUUGCACAGCUCAACUGAUCCUUUAAAGUUUGCUUGGCAGCAGUUUGUAUAUUGCACAAUGAUGAAGAUUAUAAGUAAUGCUAAGUGUUCUGCUCUUUUUAAAAAAUUAUUUUGUAUUGCUGGGGUGCUGGCAUUAAGCUCAGUUUCAAAGCAUAUCUUCCUUUUUCAGCAGCAAGUUGCAUGAAUUUAUGGUUUUGCUUUAGGCUUUGGAUGAUGGCACUUCCCUGUAUUUAUGGAACAGAGUUGGUAUUUAGGUUUCAAGGACUUUGUUAUUUCACUGGAACAAACUUCAGGGCUUAGAAUACACAUUUGGUUUGUAGAUCAAAAGGUCACUUAGUGGUCUAGCCUUUAGCUGUUUCUCUAUUUUCGUGCCUCAAAAUAAGUUUUAAGAUGAGAGCGCUAAUUCAAAAUACCCUAAAAUCAAACAAUGAAUUAUUAAGAUGGAGGCUUCACAAAUCUGACAUUUAUGUACAAUGCCCGAAGCAAACACUGGAAAUGUGGAAUAUAGAACAUUAAAUUCAGGUAGAAGAAUGUAAAUGAUUGCCUUUAAAAUAACCUUGCAUCUUUGCCAGUGAACUCUUUGUGGUAAAAACAAGCGUUUGUGAGAACACAGAAUGCAAUUAAUCAGGAUUGAUGCAUGUUUUAAACUUAGAAUCCAUUCAAAUUCCAAAGUCUUUGACAGGAUUUUGCAGGUUUUGCAUUUAUACCCCAGUUACUGGAUUUUAAGGUCACAUUAGGCAGCUUUCCUUCGCUGGAUGAGUGAAACUGAGAAGCUGUCAGCUAUAAACUUCCAGGAGGAGCUGGUGGAGGGGUGCCAGGGCCAUCAGUGGGCAAGGCAGCUGGUGGUGGGAGGUGGGCAGGACGCAGCAAGGGCUAUAACAAGAGCAUGGUGUGGGGCUUCUUUUGGUCAGCUCUAGUGGCAGAAAGAGUGCUGGUGACACUGAAACCAGUAAGUGUUAGGGAGAUACUGGUUGUUAUUGACACAUGAGCAGGGAUGUUUUCAUGCACAGUGCUCGCAUAGGUGUUGCUGAAGGCACAAGCCUCAUGUGUUGGUCUUUUCAACUGCUGUGAUUUAAGAAGGGGAAUAGUGGCUUCUUGGCAUAUUCACAUGGGUUUGGGUGAUUGCUCUUUUGGGCCUGGGUUGUCUUUGCACAAUAAAGGUGCCAUGCCAUCUUUUGGUGGGUCUGCCUAAAGCACAGACAUUAUUGGUAGUCUUGAAUUUAAAGUAGUAGGAUUUAUGUUUCCAUUGCAUUUAUGUGUGAAGCAUUAAACCUUCACAAUAUAAAUUAACUCAUAAAGCGUGUGUGGGAGUUCCUGAUGCGGUAAAUUCACUGCUUCAGGUUGUCACACAUUCUCACAUGGCUUUGACAAAGAACAAUAAUGGAAGUCUGCAGUACUCACACAGAUCCUCUUUCCAGGCUGGCUAGGUGAUUGGAUUGCUUGGGAUGCUAUCACUAUAAAAUCUCUCUAUGGGAUGGAGGCUAAUUAAAUAGACCUUAACUCUUUCAAGAAUAGAAAAGUUUUCUCUGGAUAGACUGAACAGCUCAACCAGUGGCUCAUAAAUGAGUAAACAAUGAGGGGAAAGAAUAAAUGAGCACAGGGCUGGAGCUCCAGCCUGCCCAGUGUGGCAGCACUGCCCUGGGCACCUGCCAGCCCAGGCACAUGGUACUUAGUGGCUGUUAUCAAGUGUUCCAGGCUCAGCAGUGAAGCGAUAAGAGCCGUGUGGCAGCAGUGAGAGCAAAGAGUGGCCACUAGCAAGCAAUGGGCUCUAAGAGACUCAGGCAAGCAAGCCCAUGGCAAGCACAGGAGUUUCCAGGCAAUAGCUGCACAGAAGGAACAGCUAUCCAUUCCAUCUAGAACAUCCCAGUCAAAUCUGUCCUUACCUCAAACCCUUCCAAGCCCAUGCUGGGUGCCAGAAAGGUCUGUCUUGGUUUAAUCCUGCUGGCACUAAGCCCCAUGCAGCCACUCGCUCAGCUCCCCUGGCUCCCAGAAGGGGAAAAGUGAGAGAACGUGUCAGUCGAGAUAAAGACAGUUUAAUAGGUAAAGCAAAAGCCACUGAGAUUUUUUUAAACCAUCAAAAUGAGGAUUUCUUUGACAAAAUGGGCUUUUGUCUACAUGGUGUUUAAGGAUUUGCAAGUUGCGGCAUUUGCUCUACAGUGGAUGGUACACUCACCGAAUGUGUCACACUCUCUCUCCAUUCAGUCAUCAAAAAAAACUUGUUUAAGAGAUACUUUGGGUUUCUUCCUGGCCUUUUCAUAAGGACUAGAUUGUAUUCAUAGAUGUCAUUCUGCAGCCAUGGGAUAAAAUAUUUUUAUGCAACAUGGAAUUUGAUGUCAAGAGUUUCAGAUUUGAGAGUAACACAAAAUUUUAAGAUUUGGCAGCACGUUUGGAGUUUCCCAUGAGAGCAGCUGUCACUGGAGGGCUCUGCUCAUGAAUGUCCCACAGGAGCUGCUUGGUGUUGGGAGCAUUGUCAGAUGAAUAAAGAACAAAACCAUGUGGGAAUUGUGCUACCAUAACAUCUAAUGCUCAUCUGCUUUUAGAAAGUGAUAUGAAGUAUAGUCAGCUGGUUUAUCCUGAUGGCAAGCUAGGACACCCUGUGUCAGUGUGGAGCUUCUCUUGGGUGGGUGGGUGAGUAGGGGUCUGUGUGGUGCCAGCCUCUGCCUGCUGAAGUUGGGAGGGGUCCCAGGAUGUGUACAGGGAGCAGGGCUGGAAUCCAGGCUCAGCAUCUCAGUCUUAGCACAGUGCUCUGGGGAUGUGGGCAGCGAGAACGUGACAGAGUAGUGUAUAAAGCUUCUUGGAGCUUUCAGCACUGCUGGUGUCACGCCAAGUGUGGGCUGUGUGGUAAAGCAGGGUUUCCCUGGCUCGCUGCAGUCACACUGCAGGGAGGGACAGCUCCUACAGCCACCCAGCAGGCAGAGGGGAGCUCAGAGCACAAGGCACACACA